rnacentral:rRNA from 1 species
CAGUCGCCACGGUAAUACGGAGGGCGCGAGCGUUACCCGGAUUUACUGGGCGUAAAGGGCGUGUAGGCGGCCUGGGGCGUCCCAUGUGAAAGGCCACGGCUCAACCGUGGAGGAGCGUGGGAUACGCUCAGGCUAGAGGGUGGGAGAGGGUGGUGGAAUUCCCGGAGUAGCGGUGAAAUGCGCAGAUACCGGGAGGAACGCCGAUGGCGAAGGCAGCCACCUGGUCCACUUCUGACGCUGAGGCGCGAAAGCGUGGGGAGCAAACCGGAUUAGAUACCCGCGUAGUCCCUGUCUCUUAUAC